rnacentral:rRNA from 1 species
UACGAAGGGGGCUAGCGUUGCUCGGAAUCACUGGGCGUAAAGCGCACGUAGGCGGCUUUCUAAGUCAGGGGUGAAAUCCUGGAGCUCAACUCCAGAACUGCCUUUGAUACUGGAGAGCUUGAGUCCGGAAGAGGUGAGUGGAACUCCGAGUGUAGAGGUGAAAUUCGUAGAUAUUCGGAAGAACACCGGUGGCGAAGGCGGCCCGCUGGGCAGAGACUGACGCUGAGGCGCGACAGCGUGGGGAGCAAACAGG